rnacentral:rRNA from 1 species
AGUGAACGCUGGCGGUAGGCCUAACACUUGCAAGUCGAACGGCAGCACAGGAGAGCUUGCACUCUGGGUGGCGAGUGGCGGACGGGUGAGGAAUACAUCGGAAUCUACUCUGUCGUGGGGGAUAACGUAGGGAAACUUACGCUAAUACCGCAUACGACCUACGGGUGAAAGCAGGGGACCUUCGGGCCUUGCGCGAUUGAAUGAGCCGAUGUCGGAUUAGCUAGUUGGCGGGGUAAAGGCCCACCAAGGCGACGAUCCGUAGCUGGUCUGGGAGGAUCAUCGGCCCCACUGGAACUUAGACACAGUCCGUACUCCUACGGGAGGCCGCAGUGGGGAAUAUGGGACGAUGGGCGCAAUCCUGAUCCAGCCAUAACGCGUGGCUGAAGAAGGCCUUCGGGUUGUAAAGCCCUUUUGUUGGGAAAGAACUCCGGCUGGCUAAUACCCGGUUGGGAUGACGGUACCCAAAGAAUAAGCACCGGCUAACUGCGUGCCAGCCGCCGCGGUAA